UGGGGAAUAUUGCACAAUGGGCGAAAGCCUGAUGCAGCAACGCCGCGUGAGGGACGACGGCCUUCGGGUUGUAAACCUCUUUUAGCAAGGAAGAAGCGAAAGUGACGGUACUUGCAGAAAAAGCGCCGGCUAACUACGUGCCAGCAGCCGCGGUAAUACGUAGGGCGCAAGCGUUAUCCGGAAUUAUUGGGCGUAAAGAGCUCGUAGGCGGUUUGUCGCGUCUGCUGUGAAAACCCGAGGCUCAACCUCGGGCCUGCAGUGGGUACGGGCAGACUAGAGUGCGGUAGGGGAGAUUGGAACUCCUGGUGUAGCGGUGGAAUGCGCAGAUAUCAGGAAGAACACCGAUGGCGAAGGCAGAUCUCUGGGCCGUAACUGACGCUGAGGAGCGAAACGGGUGGGAGCAAACAGGCUUAGAUA
rnacentral:rRNA from 1 species